ACAAGCUAAGAAUCCUUUCAGGAGCAUACGCCGGAAAACAAACCUCAUUCCUUCCUUCCUUUCGUUUCAUGUGGAGGCUUUUAAAUUUUAAGAGAUAUAUUGCAGCAUAAGCUAGAAAAAGUUAUAUUGCUAAUGGAAAGGGCAUGACUUCAAUUUACUGUGACAUGUAUAAAAGGAAAAAAAAAGGUUUUGCUUGCAAUCCUUGAAACUUUUUGCUAUAAACACUAAAAUGUGGAAAAUGAAGUGGUUGUUUCCUUAUUUCAAUUGCAGUGGCUAAAUUUGUAACUGAAGAAGGAAGAUAAAAGUGAGUAAUCAUAUAGGUAAUUUAAAGGGUCCGAAAAUUUUAUUUUCUGACAAAAAAGGAAUUAAGUAUGUUAUUCUUUCCUUAUCAUUAUCUUCACUUAUAAAUUAUAUUUUACUCUCAUCUAAUUAUUAUCUAGAAAAUAAAAUGUUAGAAUAUAAAAGAAAUGUUAUUAUAAGAAUAUAAAAGAAAUAUUAUUAUAAGAAUACAAAAGAAUA